CCUACGGGAGGCUGCAGUGAGGAAUAUUGGUCAAUGGACGAGAGUCUGAACCAGCCAAGUAGCGUGAAGGAUGAAUGCCUUAUGGGUUGUAAACUUCUUUUAUAUGGGAAUAAAAUGUUCCACGUGUGGGAUUUUGUCUGUACCAUAUGAAUAAGGAUCGGCGAACUCCGCGCCAGCAGCAGCGGUAAUACGGAGGCUCUGAGCGUUAACCGGAUUUAUUGGGUUUAACGGGAGCGUAGGUGGAUUGUUAAGUUAGUUGUGAAAGUUUACGGCUCAACCGUAAAAUUGCAGUUGAAACUGGCAUUCUUGAGUACAGGAGAGGUGGGUGGAAUUCGUGGUGUAGCGGUGAAAUGCUUAGAUAUCACGAAGAAUUCCGAUUGCGAAGGCAGCUCACUGGA
rnacentral:rRNA from 1 species